AUGCACGCUGGCGGCGUGCUUAACACAUGCAAGUCGAACGGAAAGGCUCCUGCUUGCAGGGGUACUCGAGUGGCGAACGGGUGAGUAACACGUGGGUGAUCUGCCCUGCACUUCGGGAUAAGCCUGGGAAACUGGGUCUAAUACCGGAUAGGACCACAUUUUGGAUGGUGUGGUGGAAAGUUUUUCGGUGUGGGAUGAGCUCGCGGCCUAUCAGCUUGUUGGUGGGGUAAUGGCCUACCAAGGCGUCGACGGGUAGCCGGCCUGAGAGGGUGUACGGCCACAUGGGGACGGAGAUACGGCCCAGACUCCUACGGGAGGCAGCAGUGGGGAAUAUUGCACAAUGGGCGCAAGCCUGAUGCAGCGACGCCGCGUGGGGGAUGACGGCCUUCGGGUUGUAAACUCCUUUCGCUAGGGACGAAGCGUUUUUGUGACGGUACCUGGAGAAGAAGCACCGGCUAACUACGUG
rnacentral:rRNA from 1 species